rnacentral:other from 1 species
AGUUCCCUGGCCUGUACGCCAGCUCAGUAACGUCCCUGAGGCUUUGAUUACAUACCCAGGUGGCUCCUAGUGGAUGUCAGGCGUGCAUGCCCGCCUCGAGCGGGAAGCCCAAGGCAUCUCAGCAGCCACCACCUUGAAAGCAACGCUUUCAAGGGCCACGCCGGGCAGCGGCAGGGUGGGGGACUA